AGAAAAUCAGAUCCUCAUCCAGACUGCCUACCCCGGGGCUGAUGGAAACAUAAAGGAAGAGUACUAUCAGGUGAAAGGUUAAUUUCUCUCUGCAGCCUUUUAUUUCAUCAGUCUCUUAGUUCAAACAGAAUGUGCCAAGAAUGCUGUAGGUUCUCAGGAAACAGGGCUUAAUGGCACUGAGAGAUGCUAACAUCCUCAUCAUUUCACACUAAGUAGGUAAGUUGCAAAGCCACUCUCUUAGUAAUGAGGGCGAGGGGCUUGAAAGAAGUUAUUGCUGGUGUUUCUGCAAUUCUCAGACAUUUGGGGUACAAGAUGAGUCUCAUUGGCAGGUGUUAGAUUAUUAGGAAAAUUAAGCAGAUGGCAUUGGCAAGCUACGCCUCCCCUUUCCUCAGCUGCCAGCAAUUCUUACCCUCAGGCUUAGCUUCACAUAUGCUUGUUUAAAAGCUCUUGCCAUUUCAAGGAAACAGAAUCCGUGUCGUCAUUCAAGCAUGCCCAUGACUAUGAACAAAUAGCAUUAUCCACAUUUUCCCAGAGUGUUAGGUAAAAACCUUUCUGUUUUCUGUAUGUCACCCAUAACCUGCCACAGUGCAUUCCACCGAGGCGGCUCAUGUCACUGACUCAGAGGAACAAAGUGAGUGUAUCUCAGCAGUUGCUUGCAAUGUUCAGUGUACCGUAAUAUGGAUCUGAUAUCCUAUGUGAUCACAUGAUCAAGAGCAGCCAAGCCUCCAGUCUUUACAGAAUGAAAUCAUAGAAAAUAGCAUUUUCAACAAUGGUGUUUCAUAUCAUCUCAACCCAGCCACUUUGGAACAUUAUUUUUGUUUUUUUAAUUGUAGGUUCAUUUAUCAGCCAGUCUUAAGAGACAGCUCACAAGAUUGACAGAGGAUGUCAUACAGAUGCCUAAUUAAGGCCAUUAGCAUAAUGAAGCCAUGAAAUCUUAUGAAUUAAAAGCAUUCUGAACAUUCAAA
rnacentral:lncRNA from 1 species